rnacentral:rRNA from 1 species
GAGAUGUAUCUUUCCUUCGGGACAGAGGAGACAGGUGGUGCAUGGUUGUCGUCAGCUCGUGUCGUGAGAUGUUGGGUUAAGUCCCGCAACGAGCGCAACCCUUGAUCUUAGUUGCCAGCAUUUCGGAUGGGCACUCUAAGGUGACUGCCGGUGACAAACCGGAGGAAGGUGGGGAUGACGUCAAAUCAUCAUGCCCCUUAUGACCUGGGCUACACACGUACUACAAUGGCCGGUACAACGGGCUGUGAAGCCGCGAGGUGGAACGAAUCCUAAAAAGCCGGUCUCAGUUCGGAUUGCAGGCUGCAACUCGCCUGCAUGAAGUCGGAAUUGCUAGUAAUCGCGGAUCAGCAUGCCGCGGUGAAUACGUUCCCGGGUCUUGUACACACCGCCCGUCACACCACGAGAGUUUAUAACACCCGAAGUCGGUGGGGUAACCGCAAGGAGCCAGCCGCCGAAGGU